rnacentral:rRNA from 1 species
AUGAACGCUGGCGGCGUGCUUAACACAUGCAAGUCGAGCGCGAAGUUUUGAAAAGAUUCUUCGGAUGAAAUUUAAAAUGGAAAGCGGCGGACGGGUGAGUAACGCGUAGGCAACCUGCCCCAUACAAAGGGAUAGCAUUUGGAAACGAAUAUUAAUACCUUAUGAAACUUAACUAGUGCAUGCUAGGUAGGUCAAAGAUUUAUCGGUAUGGGAUGGGCCUGCGUCUGAUUAGCUAGUUGGUGAGGUAACGGCUCACCAAGGCGACGAUCAGUAGCCGACCUGGGAGGGUGAACGGCCACAUUGGAACUGAGACACGGUCCAAACUCCUACGGGAGGCAGCAGUGGGGAAUAUUGCACAAUGGGGGAAACCCUGAUGCAGCAACGCCGCGUGAACGAUGAAGGCCUUUGGGUCGUAAAGUUCUGUUCUAGGUGAUGAAAACUGACAGUAACCUAGGAGAAAGCCCCGGCUAACUCCGUG